rnacentral:rRNA from 1 species
CUGCUGCCUUCCGUAGGAGUUUGGACCGUGUCUCAGUUCCAAUGUGGGGGACCUUCCUCUCAGAACCCCUAUCCAUCGAUGCCUUGGUGGGCCGUUACCCCGCCAACAAGCUAAUGGAACGCAUCCCCAUCGAUGACCGAAAUUCUUUAAUAGUUCUACCAUGCGGAAGAACUAUGUCAUCGGGUAUUAAUCUUUCUUUCGAAAGGCUAUCCCCGAGUCAUCGGCAGGUUGGAUACGUGUUACUCACCCGUGCGCCGGUCGCCAU